GUGCAGCAGUCGCGAAAACUCCGCAAUGCACGAAAGUGCGACGGGGUUACCUCGAGUGCCGCCUGAUGAAGGCGGCUUUUCCACAGUGUAAGGAGCUGUGGGAAUAAGAGGGGGGCAAGACUGGUGUCAGCCGCCGCGGUAAUACCAGCUCCUCGAGUGGUCGGGACGAUUAUUGGGCCUAAAGCAUCCGUAGCCGGUUCUGUAGGUCUCCUGUCAAAUUCAACGGCUCAACCGUUGAGCUGCAGGAGAUACCGCAGGGCUAGGAGGCGGGAGAGGUGGACGAUACUCUAUGGGUAGGAGUGAAAUCCUCUGAUCCCGGGAGGACCUGCAGUGGCGAAGGCGGGUAGCCAGAACGCGCUCGACGGUGAGGGGCGAAAGCUGGGGGAGCGAACCGGAUUAGAUACCCGGGUAGUCC
rnacentral:rRNA from 1 species